rnacentral:rRNA from 1 species
AACUACAGCCAUGCCACCCUGAACAAGCCUGAUCCCGUCUGAUCUCAGAAGCUAAGCAGGGUCGGGCCUGGUUAGUACUUGGAUGGGAGACCACCUCGGAAGAUUAGGUGCUGGAGGCG